rnacentral:rRNA from 1 species
AUUGAACGCUGGCGGCAUGCCUUACACAUGCAAGUCGAACGGCAGCACGGGUUCUUGCACCUGUUGGCGAGUGGCGAACGGGUGAGUAAUACAUCGGAACAUUUCCUGUAGUGGGGGAUAGCCCGGCGAAAGCCGGAUUAAUACCGCAUACGAUCUACGGAUGAAAGCGGGGGACCUUCGGGCCUCGCGCUGUAGGGUUGGCCGAUGGCUGAUUAGCUAGUGUGUGGGGUAAAGUCCUACCAAGGCGACGAUCAGUAGCUGGUAUGAGAGGACGACCAGCAACACUGGGACUGAGACACGGCCCAGACUCCUACGGGAGGCAGCAGUGGGGAAUUUUGGACAAUGGGCGAAAGCCUGAUCCAGCAAUGCCGCGUGUGUGAAGAAGGCCUUCGGGUUGUAAAGCACUUUUGUCCGGAAAGAAAUCCUUGGCUCUAAUACAGUCGGGGGAUGACGGUACCGGAAGAAUAAGCACCGGCUAACUACGUG